UACCAAAAUUUUAAAUGAGUUAUUUUUCUGAUGAUUCUGAAAUGAGGUGAUUGAAAACGGAACAUUACAUGUUAUCUAUUGAUGAAGGGCCUUAAUUUGCAUUGGAUUUAGCAUCAAUGAGAUCAUGAAUGGAUGGCUAUGAUGAUUUCUUUAUGGGCAGAUGUAUAAAUUAAGGCUAAGUUGGAAGUUUGGCAUAGGGGUUCCUCUCUGCAGGCGCUAUUUUCAAGUCCAACCUUAAAUGUGGUCAGGUGGUAAGUUGUCUGGUUCAAAUCUACCAACAUUUGCAUAUUUUUAACCACCACAAGAAGGAACUAAGUUGAGAUGGUGGAAAUAAUACUAUCUUGACAUCAUGGUAGUCAACUCAAGUCUCAAUCGGCAAGCUUUUCUUUCUUGGUUUUGCUGGAUGGUGUGCAGUGGGCAGUCCAUGGAGAUCUAAACAGCAAGAUCGAUAGUGGGAUCUGAUGCGCUUUCCAAGCCUCUUUCCCUGAAUUUGGAUCCUCAUCAGCAUCUCUCUCUCUCCGUUUCUUCAAUCAGGCUGAGGAGUCCAAACCAAGCUCGUGGAGAUUGUUUCAAGCCAAACAGGGCGCGUUGCAGUUUACUCACCGUCUUGCUAAACGUUUCAAUGUACUCAGGGGGUAUCCAUAUAAAUUUCUUUCUCGAGGUCACCGUGGAGAAAUGCAUUCUUUACAUCAAAUUGGAGUAGCGACCAAUCAAGGUUCGCUGCAAGGGAUAAAAGGACUCUUACAGUGUUCAACUUGGCUACAGGCGAGAAGGUCUCCAUAUAGUCAACUCCAUAAGUCUACGUAUAUCCUUUCGCUACAAGUCUUGCUUUGUAGCGCUCAAUCAACCCAUCUGCCUUAUAUUUGAUAGAGAAUACCCAUUUGCACCCCACUGUCUUGUGGCCUUUUAGUUAAGGGAUAAGAAUCCACAUCUUGUUUUUCAACAAUGCUUCCAUUUAUUCCUUCAUUGCUUGGUCCCACUUAGGAUCCUAUAGAGCCUUCUCUAAGCUUGUAGGAAUGUGAUGCGCUGAUAAUUCAUUAGAAAAGCUCUUUAAGGGUUUUGAGAGCUUCUCUGUUGAGACGUAAUUGGGAAUCGGGUACUUUGAUUUGUGUGUCUUAAUAUCCAGAGAGUAGCAUUUUGGUGGUUUGCCACAAUUGUGCCUAGGAGGUAAUUGAUAACCAUCGUCAGUUAAAUAUUUUGUGACAAAAGGAAAACUUACCUUAGGAAUCUCUUCAGGAAUAUUCUCAGAAGUUGGGUCAUGAGGUACUGUAGAGUGAGGGGGUGUCUUAGCAAUUGGAGUUAGUGCCUCAGUAGUUGGCGUUGGUGGCUCUGUAGUCUGUUCCAUACCUAUGGUAGUUGGUGGCUCUGUAGUAAGUGGGAUGUCCUUGAACCAAUUCAACUCUUCAUCGUGUGUCUUCCCCUGAAGAGAAGAAUUGGAUGGAUGAUAGAACAUCUUGGACUCGAGGAAGGUGACAUCCAUAGUAACAUAGAGCCACCUGUUUGUUGGAUCAUAGCACUAGUAACCUUUCUGAUUGGUGGCAUAGCCUAGAACGAGACAACGACGAGCAUAAGGGUUGAGUUUGGUCCGUUGCUUGCGGUGAAGAUGAACGUAGACAACGCAUCCAAAGGUUCGGGGAGGAAGUGUCAUAGUCGAAAGUAUUGAUAUACUCGCGGCUAAGUCCUGUAGAGGUGUUUUGAAACCCAGAAUCCGAGAUGACAUUCGAUUGAUGAGAUGCACAACAGUUGUAACCACAUCAGGCCAGUGAGAACUAGGUAUAUGUGUACCUAAUAGGAAGACACGUGUGGUCUCAAGAAUAUGGCUAUUCUUACGUUCUACUACACUAUUUUGCUUUGGAGUAUGAGGACACGAGGUCUGAUGUAUCAACCCAUGCUAGUGGAAGUACUCCUGGAAUUGUCGAUUCUUGUAUUCAUCGCCAUUAUCAAAGCGAAGGACUCUGAGUUUGGCAGAAAAUUGGGUUUGAAUCAUUGUGUGAAAAGAGCAAAAGACAGUAAAAACCUCAUCUUUGUUUUUCAAUAGGUAGAGUUGUGUCACUCAAGUGCAAUCAUCACUAAAAAAAAAAAUCAGCGAUAACUCGAUAAAGUAGAUUUUGAGGAUAGUCCCCACAUAUUAGAAUGAAUUAAGCUAAAAGGAACAUCUCUCUUAUUCUUAUGUAAAGGAUAAAUUGCCCAAUGACUUUUUGCCAAAAUACAUGUUUCACAUUGAAAAUUUGAGAUAGAGAAUUUAGAAAGCAAACUAGGUAGUAAAUGCUUCAAAUAUCCAAAUAAUGGAUAGCUGAGUCGUCGAUGCCAAAGCCAAAUUUGUUCUAUUCUGGAAUCACCCAACCGUCCCACAUGAUGUGGCUGUCCCAUAUUGAAGUCGUCCAUAUUGUAAAGCCCCCUUUCUUAGUACCAUGUCCAAUAAUUUUUUUUGUGAGAAUAUCCUGGAUAAGGCAAAAAUCAGGGUACAUUAGUGCUGUAAAAUUUAAGUCCUUAGUAAGUUGAUUGAUAGAAAACAAUUUAUGAGAUAGGGAUGGCACAAAUAAUGUAUUGGAGAGUGAUAGCAUCACAGUUCCAACCCCUUGUACCAAUGAAAUAGUGCCAUUAGCAUUCCCAAUGCUAGUUCGCUUAGGAACGGUAUGCUGACAAAAGUCCUGUGCAUCAAAUGUCAUAUGAUCCGUGGCUCCGAAAUCCAAGAUCCAUAAGUUGCACUCACUCCUAGUAGAUCCAUGAGAUGCUAUACUUGGCGUGUUGUUGAUAUAAUCAGUAGGAAUUAGAGACAGUUUGGGUUCUACUGCUGCUAUUAUCGUUUUACCAAUACCGGGCUUAAUCAUUUACGUGAUUUCAGAUGUUUUGUUUAUUAUCUUUGAACUCAUGAAUCACCUUUGUGGGUGAAAUUAUAUCAUGCAAUGGGGUUUCCCUCUUUACUGUGUCUUUUGGCUCAGUGAAGGGACUGUUGAUUUGUUGGAAGAAGAGAGAUUGAUGUUGGAACUAUCAAAUUAGUAGCAAAGAAAAGCAAUAAUGGGAAAAAGAGGAGGGAGUUGUUGGUUUGCAGUGGAAUCCAAGUCUUUUUGAAAUUUCUGUUGAUGUGUUUGGGAAGAAACUAAAGGGGAUCAUUGUGGAAAGAAGCAGAGGAUUCACUUUGUGGAUAAGGUUUGGAAGGUCCAGCUUGUGUUGGCUGUUGGAGGGAGUGAAGGCUAACUGUAAGGGGGAGUUUGGGCAGAGAUUCAUCAAAAGCUAGGAGGAUGGAGGUAAGAGGUUCAAACUAGAAUGUCGAGCAAAUGAGGCUGGCAGAUUUUUAUUGUGUUCAGUGGUAGACUUGGAUGCCAAGAGACAUUGUUUAGUGUUCCCAGAAGGAAAAGGUUACUUGGAAGGUUGGGCUUUGUUGGAUGGAAAACUUCGCUCACUUGGAAUAUCGACAUGUGAUGAGCUCAGGGAAGUUUCUGAAUCUUCUAAGAUUGAGAGUAGAGAUGGGGAUUCGAAGGGGAAUAAAGAAAAAUCCUACAUUGAUGCGGUGAAUAUAAGAGGAGUUUCAAGAGUGAGAAGGCUAGGGGAAGCAGCAUGGCUAUAACUUGAAGAAGAAGAAAUGUUAAGAGGAAGGGAGCUGUUGGACCGAUGCCUUGUUGGGAGAUGGGGAGAAACUUUGGUUUUAGUUCCACACCUGUAUGAUCUGGAAAACUGGGGAAAAAGUCACUGGAAACUCAAAGGAGGAGUAAAGUUCGCGAGAAUGGGGGGCCCUUUUAUUUUGAUUGAGUUUGAGAAUAAAACAUAGGCAGACAAAGUGUUAUUAAGAGGUUUAUGAUGUUUUAAGGAUUUGGUUCUGCACUUGGAAAGGUGGGACCCAAAAGUGGGUUGUUCUCAAAGUUGUGAACAUCUUAAGGAAGUUUGGGUGAGAGUGAUGGGAUUACCAUUGCAUCUUAGGAGUUGGGAAGUUUUUAAGAAGAUUGGAGACUGUUGUUGGGGCUUCGUUGCAGUGGAUGAAAGCACUGUUGCUUUAAAGGAGUUCCAAUGUACCAGAUUACUAGUGAAGUCGGAGGGGACGGAAUGGCCAAGUUCCCUGCAAGUGGUACUCGACACUACUUGUUUUGCUUUUCAACUGUGGUGGGAGGUGCUGCCAAGGGUGACCGAAGUGCUUCCGAUGAUCAGAAAUGGGUUGGGGAAGGAGCAAGAUGCUAGGGAAGAAGAAGGGGGGACUUCACGCGCUAGUAGCAUGGUGAAGCAGAUGCAGCCAAACGGAUAGCUUGCAAAGGUGGCUGUGCCCUCUGAAGAUGGUGAAAAUCUCUGUAGGAUAGAUAUGGAGGCUCCUCUUUCUGACUUAAUGUCGACAAGAGGGGCAGAGGUAGACAAGACCAAAAGAUGGUAGCAGUCUGUUUGGGGGAUUAAUUUAAAAUUGGGCCUGCAACUAAAGCUAAGGGAAUAUUGGUUUGGGACAUGGAGCUAGCAGUGGAGAGGAGACCCAUUGUGGAGGGCCUGAUUGGAAGCAAAGAAGUUUGUGGGCCAUCAUUCUUAAGCCCAAUAUCUUUCAGGCUGGAGACAAAUCUCCAGAGGAGGCCCAUUGAGGAGGGCCAUUUAGGUUCCAUGGAGGACGGUGAGCUGUCCCAAUCAGGCUCAUUACCAAACACGCACUUAAAGAGCUGCAUGGAAGUGGGCCGACCCACUCUGGAAUCUCAUAAAGGCCCAGUUGUGGGGCGACCCACUGUUGAAGACUCUUUUGAGCCUAAGGCUUGUGGGGGUUGCUGAGAGGAGAUAUGUGGGUGUCCAAACGGGGCUAAUUUUGGACUCCAGUAGGUGUCAUCUCCUCCAACGCCAAAGACUAAAAUGCUCAUCGACAAAGCUUUAAUGGAGGAGGCAUCCAGGUACACAGGUUCUCUUUCUUAGCCUCUUUUCUCGUUGGGGAAGCAGGUUUUCUCUUUUUCUUCUCUUUCUAGGCCGGAUGGGUUGUUUGACGCCACAGAGGGGGGUUGCAGUCGGGGUUGUGGUUCAAAAAUAGCUGGGAAAAUAGAGUUGGGUCCUCUUAGAAUGAUAUUGGCUGAUGGUAGGGAGGUGGAGGUCUUCGGGUUGUCGGGGUUGGCAAACGAGAGGACCGAGAAGGGGACGAAGGUUGUUUUGGAUAGGGUUCCUCAAGAGAUUAUGGAGGAAGGGGAUGAAGGGGGUGGGCUGAGUUGGCAGUCGAGUUGUUUGGCUAAGUUUAGCUGAUGCCUCGAAAUGCCAACGGAGGGCUUUGAAUGGGAGAUCCUGUUUCUGCUCAGAAGAAUGAAAGAAAGGAAAGUCCAGAAGGGGAAGAAGAGGAAACUGGAAGGUAGGUAAAUGAGAAAUUGGAAUCUUCAAAGUUCGAAAGGGAGUUGAGAAAACUGGAAUGGACUGUGAAUUAUCUUG